UUAAGUUCAGCGGGUAUCCCUACCUGAUCCGAGGUCAACCUUUGAUUGUGAGGUUGCGGCGGAGGCCACCGGUGCUCCUGACGUUCGAACUGUGAGAUUCUUAACACGCCGGGGGUCGGUUUCCUCGCCGAUGCAUUUCGGGCGGCCCACCGCGGGGGGCGGGCCGGGCACCCAAUACCAAGCCAGGCUUGAUUGGUGAA
rnacentral:misc_RNA from 1 species